GCUUCUCGCAAAAAAGGCGGGUUUCACGGGAUUCAGUGUUGGUCGCGUGACAGCUAUUUUAUCCUAAAAUUGUCAAACAAUUUGUCAUUGAUACACAGAAACGAGAUGCAUCAAGGCAAAGUUCAAAGUGAGAUUCCUCGACGACAGGGGUAACGAGUGUCCAGCAAUCUUCUAAAGAGAAGUCUUCCUGGAGUCCUUUUCCGUACUGUCGUGGAACCAAGUCCCAGGAGGAGCCAGAACACCGUAGGUAGACCAGAUUUAUGUGCAAAACUCGAACCGUCGCGUCCCCCUUCGUUCGAGCUGACGGGGAUGCAAGAAACGAUCCCGGAGGAUUCCAGGAUAAACUUGCUUCUAACGAUCGACGGAUCUGCAUGGACGACAACCUGGAGAUUUGCUGUUUGAAAUUUUCGUCACCCUCAAAGAGAUUGCCAGUACAUCGAUGCGGUUGUUACGACCAGGAUCAGGCGAAGCGCGUAUAUCGUUCAACCUUUGAGCGACCAAGUGAAGGGUGGUUGCAGAGGUAAGGGGUGAGUUUCUCCCUACGAGAGGGGCAGACAGAUGACCGACUUAACUGCGGCAUAUUAUACGAAUUAAUUACCCCCCGGCUGAAUGGCACGGACAUAUUAUUUAUCUGUGCAAGUUCCACCCCAUCUUCGUGAAACAUCCCCGGGUAGUUGAGCUACCCUCAUCGCCGGACGAGCCGGCAUCGUUUGUCUAUCUUUCUAUAUCCACGCUCGAGUAACUCACAAUUCCACCUUCAAACCGGGACAAAGGGCAGGCCAAGUUUGCUCGAAGCUUCCCGUCCUUGUAGAUAAGGGGAAGUUCUUUCUGGGGAUUUUAAUCGGCCGGAUUUUUGCUUCAAGAUUUCACUGGCUGAGGCGCCGAAUGUGAUCAGUCUACGCGCACGCCUUUGUUUCCUUAUUUCUCCUUUUCCACCUUUCCUUUUAUUUUACAUAAUUUUUCUUCUUUUAGUAAUUUCCUAAAUCAAGCUCCUAUAUAUACAUACGCGCGCGUCUGUCUGUGUGGAGAAAGUGUAAGGAAGAAAAACGAGAAAAGCUUUCAAAAUAUGCCUAAUAUUGACGACAAUUGGGUCGCUUCAACGUACUCAUUAAUUUCAACACGACCAAGAGAUUAAGAUGAAUUUUUAUAGAAAUAAUUCCAGAAAAGUAUUAAAAAUAAGCACACACUUGUGUGUUGUCUUAGCAUACAAGAUAUGACAAUUUUUAUCAUAUAUUUAUUAUUUAGGACAAUAUAUUUGCAAGUGUAUUGUUAAACUUCAACGCUUAUACGUCAACUCGUCCAUUUGAAUAUCUUCAAAGAUACAACAUCAAUAAUACCUGAGAUAUUCAUAAAUAUUUAUUAACAUCAAGAAGAAGGACUAAGUAGCGAGAAAUAAAAUGAAUUUGUUGAAAUGUUCGAGUUACUUUCUGUAUCCACUUUCCAA